UGCAUUUAAGAACUGAAGUCUGAAUAAUGAUGGUUUGGGGAAAAUAUAUUUUCAUCUUGUGUGCCCUAAAAUAAAAGCUCAUUAACACAUGACACUUAAUUUGAUUGACAGCUGUCUAGGAGGUGACAUUUUUAAGGUGGGCUGUAUAUAUGUGUUGGAUUGACUAUAAAUGUGUUGUUACUAUGUUGUGAAAAUUAUGGCUGGAAGUAAAGUUUUAAAAAGUGGGUCAUGUAACUUUUUAAUACAUAGAGAGAAGAUUUCCAACCACCUCACUGCUGCUCACAUUUUAACUAGCUUGAAGGCUAGUCCUUGAGGUGUGUAUUCAUGCAUAUUUACUCCUGGGGCAAGCAGCCAACUCUCUUAGUUUUGAUGAACUGACAAUAAAGAACGUAUCCUUUGGAUUUGUGAAGAUAGAUUGAAAAAAGAAAAAAAAUGCAUAAAUGCCUUCUGCAUUGUACCAUUGCUCAUGAUAAUUAUAAAGUUUUAAACAACUCUUGGAGACCAUAUUUUCAGAUAAAAUGUUGAUUUUGUUGUUGUUUCAGCAUUCUCUCUUGUAAGAACCUUUUAUCAUUUUACCCUGUGUAUCUAAUAAUGUGUAUCCUCUGCUACCUGCCCCUGCAUGAUUUCGUCUUAACAUCUGGUGAAUCUUUCUUGGAAAAAGUCACAUCAGGGUGCUUUUGUGUUUUCUCUUUUUCCAAAUUUAUAUCUUUUUCUUUGUCAAGUGUAGGUUAAUUAUGUCAUUUCGCAGUGCAAUUGAUUAAAGAAGGCAGGUUUUAAAAGUAAGUGUGUAGUCAAUCAGAGAGCCACGUAUAUCAUGACUUUUUAUUUCUCUUCUAAGUACAUGAAAACCUAC
rnacentral:lncRNA from 1 species